rnacentral:rRNA from 1 species
AGCAGCCGCGGUAAUUCCAGCUCCAAUAGCGUAUAUUAAAGUUGUUGCAGUUAAAAAGCUCGUAGUUGAAUUUCGGGGUUAGUAAGUUGGUCAUGCCUUCGGUAUGUACUGGCUUUACUGAUUCCUCCUUCUUGACGAACCGUGAUGUCAUUAAUUUGGUGUUGCGGGAAAUCAGGACUGUUACUUUGAAAAAAUUAGAGUGUUUAAAGCAGGCUAACGCUUGAAUACAUUAGCAUGGAAUAAUGAAAUAGGACGUUAAUCCUAUUUUGUUGGUUUCUAGGAUCGACGUAAUGAUUAAUAGGGGUAGUUGGGGGCAUUAGUAUUCAAUUGUCAGAGGUGAAAUUCUUGGAUUUAUUGAAGACUAACUACUGCGAAAGCAUUUGCCAAGGAUGUUUUCAUUUAAUCAAGAACGAAAGUUAAGGGGAUCGAAGACGAUCAGAUACCGUCGUAGCCUUAACCAUAAACUAUGCCGACUAGGGAUCGGAUGAUGUUAAUUUUUAAUUGUACUCAUUCGGCGCCU